AUUGAACGCUGGCGGCAUGCCUUACACAUGCAAGUCGAACGGUAACGGGCCUUCGGGUGCCGACGAGUGGCGAACGGGUGAGUAAUACAUCGGAACGUGCCCGAUCGUGGGGGAUAACGAGGCGAAAGCUUUGCUAAUACCGCAUACGAUCUACGGAUGAAAGCAGGGGACCGCAAGGCCUUGCGCGGACGGAGCGGCCGAUGGCAGAUUAGGUGGUUGGUGGGAUAAAAGCUUACCAAGCCGACGAUCUGUAGCUGGUCUGAGAGGACGAUCAGCCACACUGGGACUGAGACACGGCCCAGACUCCUACGGGAGGCAGCAGUGGGGAAUUUUGGACAAUGGGCGCAAGCCUGAUCCAGCCAUGCCGCGUGCAGGAUGAAGGCCUUCGGGUUGUAAACUGCUUUUGUACGGAACGAAAAGCCUUCUUUUAAUACAGGAGGGUCAUGACGGUACCGUAAGAAUAAGCACCGGCUAACUACGUG
rnacentral:rRNA from 1 species